rnacentral:misc_RNA from 1 species
GUGAAUCAUCGAAUCUUUGAACGCAUAUUGCGCCCAAGACCUCGGUCGAGGGCAUGUCUGCCUCAGCGUCGGUAUAAACCCAUCGUUUCCCUCCCCUGUUAAACCAGGGGGGUCGGCCCAUCACUUGCUGGUGGGCUUGGAAGCGGAGCUGGCGUUCCCACGCUUCGUGCGUGGGUUGGCUGAAAAGCAGAGGCUAGAGCUAGGACCCAUCAUGGGCUCAACUGAAUAGGUAGACCUGGCGCCUAACGGCACCUCCUACACGAAGUUGUGGCUUGUGGUCCUCGGCUGGCGGCCUGCAGG